GAUGAACGCUAGCGGCAGGCUUAACACAUGCAAGUCGAGGGGUAACGGGGAAGCUUGCUUCCGCCGACGACCGGCGCACGGGUGCGUAACGCGUAUACAAUCUACCUUAUACUGGGGUAUAGCCUUUAGAAAUGAAGAUUAACCCCCCAUAGUCUCUUAGAGUGGCAUCACUUCUAGAGUAAAGGUUACGGUAUAAGAUGAGUAUGCGUUCUAUCAGUUUGUUGGUGUGGUAACGGCACACCAAGACUACGAUAGAUAGGGGCCCUGAGAGGGGGAUCCCCCACACUGGUACUGAGACACGGACCAGACUCCUACGGGAGGCAGCAGUGAGGAAUAUUGGACAAUGGAGGCAACUCUGAUCCAGCCAUGCCGCGUGCAGGAAGACUGCCCUAUGGGUUGUAAACUGCUUUUAUACAGGAAGAAACACCUCUACGUGUAGAGGCUUGACGGUACUGUAAGAAUAAGGAUCGGCUAACUCCGUGCCAGCAGCCGCGGUAAUACGGAGGAUCCAAGCGUUAUCCGGAAUCAUUGGGUUUAAAGGGUCCGUAGGUGGAUAAUUAAGUCAGAGGUGAAAUCUUGCAGCUCAACUGUAAAAUUGCCUUUGAAACUGGUUAUCUUGAGUUAUUAUGAAGUAGUUAGAAUAUGUAGUGUAGCGGUGAAAUGCAUAGAUAUUACAUAGAAUACCAAUUGCGAAGGCAGAUUACUAAUAAUCAACUGACACUGAUGGACGAAAGCGUGGGUAGCGAACAGGAUUAGAUACCCUGGUAGUCCACGCCGUAAACGAUGGUUACUAGCUGUUUGGACUUCGGUCUGAGUGGCUAAGCGAAAGUGAUAAGUAACCCACCUGGGGAGUACGUUCGCAAGAAUGAAACUCAAAGGAAUUGACGGGGGCCCGCACAAGCGGUGGAGCAUGUGGUUUAAUUCGAUGAUACGCGAGGAACCUUACCAGGGCUUAAAUGUAAGUUGCAUUAGUUAGAGAUAGCUAUUUCUUCGGACCACUUACAAGGUGCUGCAUGGUUGUCGUCAGCUCGUGCCGUGAGGUGUCAGGUUAAGUCCUAUAACGAGCGCAACCCCUGUUGUUAGUUGCCAGCGAGUCAUGUCGGGAACUCUAGCAAGACUGCCAGUGCAAACUGUGAGAAAGGUGGGGAUGACGUCAAAUCAUCACGGCCCUUACGUCCUGGGCUACACACGUGCUACAAUGGUAGGUACAGAGAGCAGCCACUGCGCGAGCAGGAGCGAAUCUACAAAACCUAUCUCAGUUCGGAUCGGAGUCUGCAACUCGACUCCGUGAAGCUGGAAUCGCUAGUAAUCGGAUAUCAGCCAUGAUCCGGUGAAUACGUUCCCGGGCCUUGUACACACCGCCCGUCAAGCCAUGGAAGCUGGGAGUGCCUGAAGUCCGUCACCGCAAGGAGCGGCCUAGGGUAAAAUCGGUAACUAGGGCU
rnacentral:rRNA from 1 species